UACAGGGGGGGCAAGCGUUGUUCGGAAUUACUGGGCGUAAAGGGUCUGUAGGUGGCCAACUAAGUCAGACGUGAAAUCCCUCAGCUUAACUGGGGAACUGCGUCUGAUACUGGAUGGCUUGAGUGUGGGAGAGGAAUGCGGAAUUCCAGGUGUAGCGGUGAAAUGCGUAGAUAUCAAGAGGAAUACCAGAGGUGAAGACGGGUUGCUAGGCUGACACUGACGCUGAGGCGCGAAAGCCAGGGGAGCAAACGGG
rnacentral:rRNA from 1 species